UCGAGCUUCCAGGUUGUGACACCAGGGAAAAAGUGCACACGUCCAAUGAAAACAAUAAUUUAUUUAAAUAAUCUCUUCAUAUUGUAAAAUCAACAUUAAGAGCAUGUUGUUUUCAUAAUAAAUAACCCCAAAAUACCUUUCAUUUCAAGAACAAAGACUUUAGGAUAAGAUAAAUCCAAAUCAGUAGCUUAAACUGAGAAAAUCUUUCAAGGGAAAAAGAAAACGGAGGGGUGCUGAGGUCACUGCUAAACCGCAGUUUUCACAAGUGGGGGUUUACAAAAAAAUGUCUGAAAAGAUGAGUAUGUUUAUACAAAUAAAUCAGUGGGAAAAUCUGCACAGACACGUUUAUUUACAAACGCUAUGUCCAAGUCCAGGCUAAUACUCCUGAAUAGGUUUUAAAAAAGAUAAUUUAAACACAUUUUUUUUUUUGCAGUGUCCACAUAUUAAAAAAUCGUUUUUCCCCAACAUCAAAAUGAGGUCAUCCGCAAAGGCACCUAAAC
rnacentral:lncRNA from 1 species